rnacentral:rRNA from 1 species
UCGAUCAGGUAGCUCCCAU